CCGCUACCCUGGAGAGCUGGGUUUAAGACAUUUGCCAGCACACCACUGCCCAGGGACCAGUCUCAGCUCCAGAGCUGUGGGUUAUUGGUAAAGGAUGUGAUUUCAUUGAGCCUCAGUUUCUGUAUCUGUAAAGCAGGAAUCUAUCACUUAUGAAAUAUCCUGUGCAGGCACAAUCUUAGGUGUGGAGGAUACAAUACAACGUCAUUAAGUUCAAGAUGGGGAGGGGUUGGGGUGAGGGCUGGCCUGUCUGAGGAGGGGCAUUUGCAGUGCUGGAGCAAGCCAUGGAGGACAGGAAUUGCUCCAGUCAGAGGAACAGCAAGGACAAGGGGCCCAAGACGGCAUGUACUAGAGGCUCCACGCAUAGAAAAAGCCAGCCAUCCCCAGCGCUGUAACUGAGUGGCCAGUGGUGGGAGGUGAGGUCACAGACGCGGAGGGGGCAUACAUGGGGCUUUGUAAUAGUUAAUUUUAUGCAUCAACUUGACUGGAUCACAGUGUGCCCAGAUAUUUGAUCAAACAUUAUUCUGAGUGUUUCCGUGACAAUGUUUUUGGAUACAAUCAACAUUUAUUUAAUUGGUUGAAGACCUGAAUAGAACAAAGAGUUCAAUUCUCUCAAGUAAGAGAAUUCCUCCUGUCUGACUACUUCAGAAUUGGGACAUUGGCUUUUUCCUGCCUCUACACUACAACUACACCAUCAAGCCUUCAGACAUGGAAAGGAACCACACUAUUGGCUCUCCUCGGUCUUCAGCUUGCCAACUCAAUGCAGAUCUUUGCAUUUGUCAGCCUUAUAACCAUGUGAGCUAAUUCCCUAAAAUAAAUGUCCUCAUUUAAAUG
rnacentral:lncRNA from 1 species